GACGAACGCUGGCGGCGUGCCUAACACAUGCAAGUUGAGCGACGAACCAGGGCUUGCCCUGGGGCAAAGCAGCGAACGGGUGAGUAACACGUGGGUAACCUACCCCGAUAACCGGGACAACCCGAGGAAACUCGGGCUAAUACCGGAUGUGCUCACUGGACUUCGGUUCAGUGCGUAAAGGAAGCUUCGGCCUCCGUAUCGGGAGGGGCCCGCGUCCCAUUAGUUUGUUGGUGCGGUAACGGCCCACCAAGCCCGCGAUGGGUAGCUGGUCUGAGAGGACGAUCAGCCACACUGGGACUGAGACACGGCCCAGACUCCUACGGGAGGCAGCAGUGGGGAAUCUUGGGCAAUGCGCGAAAGCGUGACGCAGCAACGCCGCGUGGGGGAAGAAGGCCUUCGGGUUGUAAACCCCUUUCAGGGGGGACGAAGGUUAGGCGGUGAAUAGCCGGCCGGACUGACGGUACCUCCACAAGAAGCCCCGGCUAACUACGUG
rnacentral:rRNA from 1 species